GACGAACGCUGGCGGCGUGCUUAACACAUGCAAGUCGAACGGAAAGGCCCUGCUUUUGUGGGGUGCUCGAGUGGCGAACGGGUGAGUAACACGUGAGUAACCUGCCCUUGACUUUGGGAUAACUUCAGGAAACUGGGGCUAAUACCGGAUAGGAGCUCCUGCUGCAUGGUGGGGGUUGGAAAGUUUCGGCGGUUGGGGAUGGACUCGCGGCUUAUCAGCUUGUUGGUGGGGUAGUGGCUUACCAAGGCUUUGACGGGUAGCCGGCCUGAGAGGGUGGACGGCCACAUUGGGACUGAGAUACGGACCAGACUCCUACGGGAGGCAGCAGUGGGGAAUAUUGCACAAUGGGCGGAAGCCUGAUGCAGCAACGCCGCGUGCGGGAUGACGGCCUUCGGGUUGUAAACCGCUUUCGCCUGUGACGAAGCGUGAGUGACGGUAAUGGGUAAAGAAGCACCGGCUAACUACGUG
rnacentral:rRNA from 1 species